rnacentral:rRNA from 1 species
UUUGAUCCUGGCUCAGAUUGAACGCUGGCGGCAUGCCUUACACAUGCAAGUCGAACGGCAGCGCGGGAGCAAUCCUGGCGGCGAGUGGCGAACGGGUGAGUAAUACAUCGGAACGUGCCCAAUCGUGGGGGAUAACGCAGCGAAAGCUGUGCUAAUACCGCAUACGAUCUACGGAUGAAAGCAGGGGACCGCAAGGCCUUGCGCGAAUGGAGCGGCCGAUGGCAGAUUAGGUAGUUGGUGAGGUAAAGGCUCACCAAGCCUUCGAUCUGUAGCUGGUCUGAGAGGACGACCAGCCACACUGGGACUGAGACACGGCCCAGACUCCUACGGGAGGCAGCAGUGGGGAAUUUUGGACAAUGGGCGAAAGCCUGAUCCAGCCAUGCCGCGUGCAGGAUGAAGGCCUUCGGGUUGUAAACUGCUUUUGUACGGAACGAAAAGGUCUUUUCUAAUAAAGAAGGCUCAUGACGGUACCGUAAGAAUAAGCACCGGCUAACUACGUGCCAGCAGCCGCGGUAAUACGUAGGGUGCAAGCGUUAAUCGGAAUUACUGGGCGUAAAGCGUGCGCAGGCGGUUAUAUAAGACAGUUGUGAAAUCCCCGGGCUCAACCUGGGAACUGCAUCUGUGACUGUAUAGCUAGAGUACGGUAGAGGGGGAUGGAAUUCCGCGUGUAGCAGUGAAAUGCGCAGAUAUGCGGAGGAACACCGAUGGCGAAGGCAAUCCCCUGGACCUGUACUGACGCUCAUGCACGAA